AGCAGCUGUUGAGGGCAAAGCUCAAAAACUCCCUUUACUACCCGACACCUCCCGGGCAGGGUCCGUGGAUUCUUCCCCGGACAAAAAUGGUCCGUGCCGGCUGGGUUGGAUCUUCGGGCCCCGUCCGGUGGCUGGGUUGGCUGGGAGUCCCUUCGUGGUCGCCAAUUGAUAGAUCGUUCCCCGAAUGGGUUCGAAUUUCCCGGCUGGGAGCUCCUCUCCAGCAGAUUGGAGCGUUGCCGAUGUAUUAGAAGAAUUGAGAUCGAAGCGAGCUGCGUGAAAGCGAGGUUUCUUUAUUUUUCAGGAAGACGAAUCCAGCAAGCGCAAGGACCGCGUUCCUGGGUGAGCUGACAACCAUAUACAAUGCCUUCAGAACAGCUUUCCUGACUGGGGACUUCAGAGUUGCUGGAUCACACCUCCCAUCAAAUCCAGCCAGCAAGACAUGGGUUGCUCCCGGUUCGAUCCAGUUCUAUAGAACCGGUAGUAAAAAUGUCAGGAGGCUCCACCCACCCGCCACGACGUCGUCAUGGGUGAUCUGCACAUGUGCAGAAGAGCACGCGUAUGCGGUCCCGUUGCAAACCAAUAGUAAAGCCAAUGAACAGGAUAAACUCAUUUCCCUUCCCUGAAUAUGUUCCAAUGGAGGCUGGACAACUAACUAUCCGGAUUCCUGCACUGUGCAAGAGGACUUGGGCGGCGACAUCUCUAUCGUCUCUCAACGUAGCAAAAUUCCAAUAGACUUUAGCAGUGGUGAAAUCCAAAUUUUUUUACUACCAGUUCUGUGGGUGUGGCAUGGCUUGGUGGGCGUGGCUUGGUGGGCCCUGGCAGGGGAGGGAUACUGCAAAAUCUCCAUUCCCACCCUACUCUGGGACCAGCCAGAAGUGGCAUUUACCGGUUCUCCGAACUGCUCAAAAUCUCCGCUACCGGUUCUCCAGAACCUGCUGGAUUUCACCUCUGGACUUGAGUUAUUCUGAUUUUCUAAAUAAUUAUGCAUUUGAUUCCAAUUAAGUAUCAGGACCAGAACUGAAGAUGGUUAAAUGUCAAAAGAAGGAACUGACCAGACCCUGAUUUUUCUUUCCAAGAUGGUUAAAAAAGAACAAAAUAAACUUCAGCAGAGGGGAAAAAAUGCAAAAUAAA